ACCUUAAUAGUUUAAUAAAAAACUCCAAUUUGUGGUGUUGGGGAUGCUAAUAGCUUAGGGUC
rnacentral:tRNA from 1 species